GGUCCAAGCGUUAAUCGGAAUUACUGGGCGUAAAGCGUGCGCAGGCGGUUGUGCAAGACCGAUGUGAAAUCCCCGAGCUUAACUUGGGAAUUGCAUUGGUGACUGCACGGCUAGAGUGUGUCAGAGGGGGGUAGAAUUCCACGUGUAGCAGUGAAAUGCGUAGAGAUGUGGAGGAAUACCGAUGGCGAAGGCAGCCCCCUGGGAUAACACUGACGCUCAUGCACGAAAGCGUGGGGAGCAAACAGGAUUAGAUACCCUGGUAGUCCACGCCCUAAACGAUGUCAACUAGUUGUUGGGGAUUCAUUUCCUUAGUAACGUAGCUAACGCGUGAAGUUGACCGCCUGGGGAGUACGGUCGCAAGAUUAAAACUCAAAGGAAUUGACGGGGACCCGCACAAGCGGUGGAUGAUGUGGAUUAAUUCGAUGCAACGCGAAAAACUUACCUACCCUUGACAUGCCGCUAACGAAGCAGAGAUGCAUUAGGUUGCUCCAAAGAAAAA
rnacentral:rRNA from 1 species